UGAGACCUGAGGGCUAAGAGGGAGCCCGGCUUGCAGAGUUCUUGGGGAAGGGUGUCUCAGGUAGAGGGACGAGCAAGCACAAAGGCCUCAAGACGGGAACAAGUUAGGUGUGUUUGAGGAACUGAGAAAAGGAAGUGAGACUGCGAAGGCAGAGAGGGAGGGGAGAGCAAGGUUCGGAAGGGGAGAGGGUUUCUAGGCAGCCCCAGGAGACUCAGGAGUGGAGGGAGGGAUGUGGGGCGUGGUCUCCAAGGCAGGGUUCACUGCCAACCUCUCCUCCUGGGUCCUGAGGAGUCCAAACACCUCUUCCCCUUCUCCACGCAGGCAGUCUGCACUGUCCACUUCCCCUGCAAGAGCUACAGUCCAACCCCAGCUCCCCCAUUACCGCAGGGCUCAUGGGUCCCUUCUGAGCAGGAAGACAGGGCUCUUGCAUGCAGUCCUGCCUCAGACAUUCAUUCGUUAAUUCCUCUGUCCACUCGCCCAUCAGAUGUGGAUUUGCCACAGGUCUUUUGCUUUUGCAGGUCCCUCUGCCCGAAACAUAGUCUUUUAUCCUGCAAGGCUCUGCUUCCAAUGGCGCUUCUUCCAAGAUGCCUUCCCUGACCACCCCCAGCUAAUUUAGCCCCCUUAUCACCCUGUGAGCAACUGUACUGCUCUUCAUGAUAAAACAGGAUCGGUUGGUGCUCCCAGGCGCCCUCUCUAUAUAUGUAAGAGAUAGAUCUACCCUUCUCAUUUUUCUUUUAGGAACCAUCCUUCCCUUCUCUUUGCGUGAUUUGUUUGUGUCAACCCCGUUCCCGAAAUAAGCAUAUCAUCCAGGUAAAGGCAAUGAGAGACAGCUGCAGGACUUUUGCUGGAGCUCCCGGAAAGCUAAGUUUUGCUCCACUCUGCUUGCUUACCUGGUGGGCUGCAAGGUUGGAGCUGCUGGGGGAGGAGAGGACCUGCUGAAAAUGAAAUCAAUAUUGAGGGAAGAAAAGGUGAAAGAAGGAGAGAUGCACAGUCCUGAGUGGAUUGUUUGAGCACCUGGAUUCAGCCGUACCUGCAAUCCAAACUCCCCCCCAGACUUUUCCAUUAUAAGAACCAAUAUGUUCCCUUUGUGCUUAAGCUAGUUUGGGUUUCAGUAGCAAUAGACAGUCUAACUGAUAAUAAAGUCUUGAAGAUAUGCAGGCAGUCAAGCUUAGGUACUUUCCCCUUGACGGAUGUGGGCUGGGGCUUCCCUCAUUCAGAAGCCACGCCCCCUCUAGAGUUUCCUUUUCUACAAGGCCUGAGUGUUUGGGAUUCGCUCAACCUGAGGCAAAAAAGCAGAAUCCAAGUGUGAGGCCAGAGAGGGGGUCACUACAAAAGCAGCCACACAACCAGCAGCAGGAACUGGGAAUCUGCAUUGUUAAUAAGCAAAUCCAUUUGCCUUCCCUCUUCUGGGUGGGCUGAGCCCUGAUUUUAUUAGCUUGUUUUUCUUAGCUCUGUCCAUGUGUUCAGGGAAAGUAUGUAAGCCAGUCAUGGUUCUCUCGUCUCCUGGUCAGUGACUGGUUCUGGAAGAAGCUGUGACUAACCACUUCCCAGCAGACUUAUUCUCACAUGUGGGGAUUCCUGGGGUAGAAUGGUUUUGCUCCUAAAAAGUAACGCAAGGGAAAGAAACUUCCCUUUUCUGCCUCCCACAGAAAGUACAGCCCUGUGAGGAGGCACUAUUUGACAUUGGAUUUGACUUUCUGGAACUCUUCAUCUGAAGUAGAAUCAUGGUAGACUCUGUGUCUAGUUUUCCCCUCCAUCCGUGUGGGAGGAAAAAAGGGGGUGCCAUUCACACUCGACUGGUUUAACAAAGAAAAAACUCACAAACAUUUAGCCUUGUCAGAAUUUACAUGUAGAUUCUAAGUAUUAUUCCCAGGGCAAUAAAUUAUUAAGUAAGACAAAUCAGAAUUACAGAUUUUGGAAGGUCAGAGCUUCCUUUCACAAGAUGUACCCAUCUGUGAAGUCCCUCUGGCCUACAGAGAGUAUUUGCAAGAGGAGUUUUAUGAUGCUGAGGAGUGUCUGAUUUUCUGCAGCUGCGAAGAAAGAUCAUUUUUCUACUUAUCUUUCUGCAAUUUCUUCGACCAGCACUUAGAAGAGCCCUGUAAGUACCAAGAGCGAAACCAGAGAGGCCAAACACUUAAAAUAGGGGAGGGAAAUGGGCAGAGUAGGAUUUUAGCAAAAGGAACUUAAGGUUGUAAUGUUUCGCAUCUGUAGGAAAUGAUGGCUAGAACUGUAGCAGCCAUAUUGCCACCUUGAGGGAUGACGCUGCCCACGUGCCAAGGAAUCUUAGUCCAUGAGAACACCAUUCAACUGAAGCAAUGACCACUGUAGAACCUCCCUAUCUUGGAAUAAGAAGUACCACUGUGCCCCAGAAGAGUUGCAGGGCAAAAAGAUGUCAUUGUCUGAGAGGAGGGCUUUUUGGCAUUGCUUCUCGUUGGGACAGCUGAAGGAAGCGUGGGACCCCAGCAAGGGGACGGCGAGGCUGAGCAACAGCCACAGGGUGUCCUCCACUCUGCUGGGAUAGGAAGAAACUUAAUUUGUCUCUUCACGGUUUUCUCUACCAUCCCCGGCUUUGGCAUUCAAAUGUCACAUGUCUUGGCACACCCUCAACAACCGGGACCUAUUGAGAAUAAGUCAGGCUGCUUGGACAAUCACAAAGGUAUAAGAGAAAACCAAGAACUAGGACAAGGUUGAAUGAUAAAGGUUCAUCUCCUACACAAGGUCAUUCCUUCAAGACUGGGAGAGGUAACUGUUUCACCUAAUACAUAGGAACAAACAUAGAUAGUUGAGCAAGAUGAGGAAACAGAAGAGUUUGUUCCAAAUGAAGGAACAAGAUAAAACUUCAGAAAAAAAAAUAGAGAUAAUUAAUUUACCUGAUAGAGUAAGAGUUCAAAGUAAUGGUCAUAAAGACACUCAGGAGAAGAAUGGAUGAACACAGUGAGAACUUCAACCAAAAAAAAUUAAUUAAUAAAAUCUAAGAAAGUACCAAACAGAAGCCAGAGAAGUGUAAACAAUAACUGAGCUGAAAAUACACUACAGGGGCAGAAAGGUUCAACAGCAGACUAGAUAAAACAGAAGAAAAGAUCAGUGAUCUGGAAGACAGGGCAGUGGAACUCACACACAGAGCAGCAAAAAGGAAAAACAAAAGAAUUUCAAAAAGUAAAGAUAGCUUAAGGGACCUAUAGGACAAUAUAAAACAGAAUAACAUUCACAUUAUAGGAGUCUCAGACGGAGAAGAGAGAAAGAGAAGGGAGAACACUUAUUUGAAGAAAUAAUGGCUGAAAACUUCCCUAAACAUACAUCCAGAUCCAGGAAUCCCAGAGAGUUCCAAAAAAAAAAAAAAAAAAAGAUGAACCCAAAGAGAUCCACACCAAGCACAUUUAUAACUACAAUGUCAAAAGUUAAGAAUAAAGAGAGAAUCUUAAAAGCAGUGAGAGAAAAACAACUUGUUUCAUACAAGGGGACCCCCCCCAUAAGACUAUCAGCAGAUUUUUCAGCAGAAAUGUUGCAGGACAGAAGGGAGUGGAAAAAUAUAUUCAAAAUGCUGAAAUGAAAAAACUUCCAACCAAGAAUACUCUACCUAGAAAGGUUAUCAUUUAGAACUGAAGAGAGAAACAAGUUUUCCAGACAAGCAGAAGUUAAAGAAGUUCAUUGCCACUAAACCAGCCUUAUGAGAAAUGUUAAAAGAACUUCCUUAUGCUGAAAAGAAAGGGCACUAAUUAGUAACAAGAAGUGAAUGAAAGUAAAAAUCUCACUGGUAAAGAUAAAUAUAUAGUAAAGGUAGUGGAUUAAUCACAAAACUAGUAUGAAGGUUAAAAGGCAAAAUUAGCAAAAAUAACUAUACUCAUAAUAAUUAGUUAAGGGAUACACAAAAAUAAAAAGAUGUAGAAUGUGAUGUCAGAAACAUAAAAUGGAAGUAAAAAUGCAGAGUUUUAGAAUGUGUUCAACUGGGGCCCCUAGGUGGCUCAGUCAGUUAAGCAUCUGCCUUCUGCUCAGGUCAUGAUCCCAGCAUCCUGGGAUCGAAUCCUGCAUUGGGCUCCCUGCUCAGCAGGGAGUCUGCUUCUCCCUCUCUCUCCAUGUUCUCUCUCUCUCAAAUAAAUAAAUAAAUCGGAAAAAAAAAAAAAAAAAGAAUGUGUUCAACUUAUCUUGCUGUCACCUUAAAAUAGACUAUUACAUAUAUAAGCCAUUAUAUGUGAAGUUCAUGGUAACCACAAAGCAAAAACCAUAUACUAGAUACACAAAAGAUGAGAAAGGAAUCUAACCAUAACACUAAAGAAAGUAAUCAAACCACAAGGGAAGAGAGCAAGAGAAGAAUAAAGAAACAGAGAGGAACUACAAAACAGCCAGAAAACAAUUAACAAAAUGGGAAUAAAUAUAUACCUAUCAAUAAUUACUUUAAAUCAUUAAGUGGACUAAAUUCUCCAGUCACAAGACAUAAGGGUGCCUGAGUGGCUCAGUCAGUGAAGCAUCCGACUCUUGAUUUCAGCUCAGGUCAUGAUCUCAGGGUUGUGAGAUCAAACCCUGUGUUGGGCUCUGCACUGGGAGUGGAGCCUGCUUAAGAUUCUCUCUCCCUCACCUUCUGCCCUCCCCUGCUCUCUCUCUCUAUGUCUCUAAAAAAGAAAAAAAGACAUAGAGUGGCUGCAUGGAUUUAAAAAAAGAAAAAAACCCAGACCCAUUUAUAUGCUGCCUAUAAGAGACUCACUUCAGAUGUAAAGUUACACACAAACUGAAAGUGAGGGAAUAAAAAAAGAUGUUUCAUGCAAAUGAAAAUAAACAAACAAAGGGCUGGUAGCUUACUUAUAUCAGACAAAAUAAAUUUUAUUUAUUUAUUUAUUUAUUUUUAAAGAUUUAUUUAUUUAUUUAUUUGACAGAGAGAGAGAGACAGCAAGAGAGGGAACACAAGCAGGGGGAGUGGGGGAGGGAGAAGCAGACUCCCCACGGAGCAGGGAGCCCGAUGCGGGGCUCGAUCCCAGGACCCUGGGAUCAUGACCUGAGCCGAAGGCAGACGCUUAUCGACUGAGCCACCCAGGCGCCUAACAAAAUAGAUUUUAAAAUAAAGACUGGGACACCUGGGUGGCUCAUGAUCCCAAGGUCCUAGGAUAGAGCACUGUGCUGGGCUCCCUGCUCAGUGGGAAGUCUGCUUCUCCCUCUCCCUCUCCCCACCCCCAUGUUUGUGCUUUCUCUCUCUCAAAUAAAUAAAAUAUUUUUUUAAAAAGACUGCAAUAAAAGAGAAAGAUGGGCAUUACAUAAUGAUAAAGAGUUCAAUACAACAAGAUAUAACAUCUGUAAAUAUUAAUGCCCUCAAUAUAGGAGCAUCUAAAUAUGUAAAGCAAAUAUUAACAGGGAGAAACUGACAGUAAAACAAUAGUAGGGGACUUUAAUAUGCUACUUACAUCAAUGGAUUGAUCAUCCAGACAGAAAAUCAAUAAGGAAACAUCAGCAUUAAAUGACACAUUAGACAAUAUGGACUUAAUCGAUACAUAACAGAACAUUCCAUCCAAAGCAGUAGAAUACACAUUCUUCUUAAGUGCACACAGAACAUUCCCUAGGAUAGAUUAAAUGUUAGGCCACAAAACAAGUCUCAAUAAAUUAAAGAGGACUGAAAUCAUAUCAGGCAACUUUUCCAACUACAAUAGUAUGAAACUAGAAAUCGAUUACAAGAAGAAAACUGGAAAAAAAAUCACAAAUAUGUAGAGAUUAAAUAACAUGCUCCUGAACAAUCAACGUGUCCAUGAAGAAAUGAAAGGAGAAAUCAAAAACACCUUGAGACAAAUGAAAAUGGAAAUACAACAUACCAAAAUCUAUGGGAUAUAGAAAAAGCAGUUCUAAGAGGGAAGUUCAUAGCGAUACAAGUCUACCUCAAGAAAAAAGAAAAAUCUCAAAUAAGCAAUCUAACUUUACACCUAAAGAAACUGAAAAAGAAGAACAAAUGAAACCCAAAGUUAGUAGAAGGAAGGAACUAAUAAAGUUCAGGGCAGAAAAAAAUGAAAUGGAAACUCAAAAGACAGUGGAAAAGAUCAACAUAAUUAAGUGUUGGUUCUUUGAAAAGAUAAACAAAACUGACAAACCUUUAGCUAGACUCACUAAAAAAAAGUGAAAGGGCUCAAAUAAAUAAAAUCAGAAAUGUAAGAGGAGAAGUUACAACUGAUACCACAAAAAUAUAGAGGAUCACAGGGCGCCUGGGUGGUAUAGUCAGUUAAGCGUCUGACUCUUGGUUUUGGCUCAGGUAAUGACCUCAGGGUUGUGAGACUGAGCCCCACAUGGUGCUCCACACCCAGUGUGGAGUCUGCUGGAGAUUCUCUGCCCCUCCCCCUCUGCCCCUCCCACCUGUGCACACUCUAUCUCUCUAAAAUAAAUGAAUAAAUCUUUAAAAUUUAUAUAUAAAGGAUCAUAAGAGACUAUUGUGAACAAUUAUAUGCCAACAAAUUGGACAACCAAGAAAAAACAGAUAAACUUCUAGAAAUAUAAAAUCUUCCAAGACUGGAUCAUAAAGAAACAGAAAAUCCAAAAAGACUGAUUACUAGUAUGGAGAUUGAAUCAGUAAUCUAAAACCUCCAAAAAAACAAAAGUCUAGGACCAGACAGUUUCACUGGUGAAUUCCACCAAACAUUCAAAGAAGAUUUAAUACUUAUCUUUCUCAAACUCUUGCAAAAAAUUGUAGAGUAAGAAAUGCUUUCAAACUUAUUUUUAGGAGAAGAAGGAGAGGAGGGAGAAGGAGAGGGAGGAGGAAGAGGAUGGAGGAGAAGGAGAAGAGAAGGGAAGGGAAGAAGAAAGGAAGGAAGGAAGGGGAGAAAGAGAAAGAAAGGAAGGAAGGAAGGAAGGAAGGAAGGAAGGAAGGAAGGAAAGAAGAAAGAAAGAACAGAAGAAAAUUAAUUACAGGCUAAUCUGAUGGACACAGGUGCAAAAAUCCCUGACAAAUUCAGCAAUACAUUAAAAGGAUCAUAAAUCAUGAUCGAAUGAGAUCUAUCCUAGGGAUGCAAAGAUGAUUCAACAUCCACAAAUCAACCAAUGCAAUACACCACAUUAACAAAAUGAAGGAUAAAAGUCAUAUGAUUAUCUCAGUAGAUACAGAAAAAGCAUUUGACAAAAUUCAACAACCAUUUAUAACAAAAAUUCUCAAAGUGUGUAUAGAGGGAAUGUACCUCAACAUAACAAAGACCAUAUAUGACAAGCCCACAGUUAACAUCAUACUCAAUGGUGAAAAGCUGAAAGCUUUCCCUCUAAGAUCAGGAACAAGGCAAAGAUGCCCACUCUCACCACUUUUAUUCAACACAGUAUUGGAAAUCCUAGACAAAGCAAUUAGACAAGAAAAAAGAAGUAAGACAUCCAACUUGGAAAGGAAGAAGUAAAACCAUCACUACUUGUGGAUAAUAUGUUUUAUAUAUAGAAAACCCUAAGUACUCCACCAAAAAACUGCUAAAAUAAACAAAUCCAGUGAAGUUGUAGGAUACAAAAUCAAUGUACAAAAAUCAGUUGCCUUUCUAUACAUUAUCUAUUAUUAGCGAAAUUAAGACAAUGACCGUAUUUACAUUUGCAUCAAAAAGAAUAAAAUAUCUAGGAAUAAAUUUAACCCAGGAGGUGAAAAACUUGUACACUGAAAAUUAUAAGUCACUGAAGGAGACACCAAUAAAUAGAUAUUCUGUGCUCAUGGAUUGGAAGAAUUAAUAUUCCUAAAAUGUCCAUAUUACCCAAAGCAAUCUAUAGAUUCAAGGCAAUCCCUAUUAAAAUUCCAAUGGCAUUUUUUACAGAAAUAGGACAAAUAAUUCUAAAAUUUGUGUGGAACCCCAAAGACCCCAAAUAACCAAAGCAAUCUUGAGAAAGAACAAAGCUGGAGGCAUCACACUCCCUGAUUUCAAACUAUAUUACACAG